rnacentral:rRNA from 1 species
CAGGCCUAACACAUGCAAGUCGAGCGGAAACGAGUUAUCUGAACCUUCGGGGAACGAUAACGGCGUCGAGCGGCGGACGGGUGAGUAAUGCCUAGGAAAUUGCCUUGAUGUGGGGGAUAACCAUUGGAAACGAUGGCUAAUACCGCAUAAUGCCUACGGGCCAAAGAGGGGGACCUUCGGGCCUCUCGCGUCAAGAUAUGCCUAGGUGGGAUUAGCUAGUUGGUGAGGUAAUGGCUCACCAAGGCGACGAUCCCUAGCUGGUCUGAGAGGAUGAUCAGCCACACUGGAACUGAGACACGGUCCAGACUCCUACGGGAGGCAGCAGUGGGGAAUAUUGCACAAUGGGCGCAAGCCUGAUGCAGCCAUGCCGCGUGUAUGAAGAAGGCCUUCGGGUUGUAAAGUACUUUCAGCAGUGAGGAAGGGGAUGUCGUUAAUAGCGGCAUUUCUUGACGUUA